rnacentral:pre_miRNA from 1 species
UCUUCAUUUCACAUACUAUCUCGCCUCUCUAACCAGUGAGAGAGUGUGGGAAAUGAAGAGA